rnacentral:rRNA from 1 species
GACGAACGCUGGCGGCGUGCUUAACACAUGCAAGUCGAACGGAAAGGCCCUGCUUUUGUUGGUUUCUCGAGUGGCGAACGGGUGAGUAACACGUGAGUAACCUGCCCUUGUCUUUGGGAUAACUUCAGGAAACUGGGGCUAAUACCGGAUAGGAGCUACUGCUGCAUGGUGGGGGUUGGAAAGUUUCGGCGGUUGGGGAUGGACUCGCGGCUUCUCCGCUUGUUGGUGGGGUAGUGGCUUACCAAGGCUUUGACGGGUAGCCGGCCUGAGAGGGUGACCGGCGACAAGGGGACUGAGAGACGGCCCAGAAGGCUACGGGAGGCAGCAGUGGGGAAUAUGGCGGAAUGGGCGGAAGCCUGAGGCAGCAACGCCGCGUGCGGGAUGACGGCUUUCGGGGUGUAAACAGCUGUCGCAUGUGACGAAGCGUGAGUGACGGUAAUGGGUAAAGAAGCACCGGCUAACUACGUG